rnacentral:lncRNA from 1 species
CAUCCUUAUCACUAUAGUGCUCUGUUAAUGCAUCUUUUCUCAGGCUAUCACCUUCAUAGCUGUCACUUUUUUAUGUGGUUCUGUGCUAAGCACACUGAUUAGCUAUUGCUUAAUAUGCAAUGAAUUUUGUCAUUCUUGCUCCCAGACUACAAGAGCCCCUUUGUAGGAAACAAACAGCCUGCAGAGCUGUCCCCAUUUUAUGCAUUGAAGCACUUCCCGGGCAUUGUAUCGCCAUUUACGGAAGCACUGCAAGAGAUGGCGAGGAGUGAGGCAGAUUUAAUCAGCAUUGAAGCAGAACAAGAAGCCAGGCGGGUUUCACAGCUCGAAAAAAUUAUCCAGCUGCUUCCAGCACCUUGCAACGCCUUGCAUGUGCUGCAGAUAUCAGGCACCUACCCGAAGCUAAGUGUAGCAGCAAAGGAUUACGUACAACUCAUGACGCAAGAGCAGAAGGAGUUUUAUCAGACAAAUAUUGUCUGUGAGUCACUGUCAGACCUAUGUGUGGCCACCAUGGGCCAGUCAAGCUGUCUAAGGUAUGGAAACAUCAGUGACAGAGGACAUUGUUGCUCUUUACAUGUACUCUUCAUCCUUCUGAUAUUGUGUAUGUUAACUCUAAUUUAGGUGGCACAAAGAAAAGAAGUUUCGCAUAAGCAGUACCACUAGCCACACAAUACUCCAUGCCCGACGGAGCCCUGAGGAGGUUGCCAGGGCCAUCCUGAACUCAAGGCCAUUUUCUACAGAGGCCACGGCUUAUGGACUCCGUACAGAACCCCUGGCUCGGAUGGAGUUUGAGCGUCAACUAGGUGUUGAAGUUGUGGAGAUGGGUUUGCUCAUACACCCGGAUCAGCCUUGGCUGUGUGGCAGCCCUGAUGGCAUGUUCUACCUGUCUGGGGAAACAUGCCUUUUGGAAAUCAAGUGUCCCCACAAGUGUAAAGAAGCAGACAUGUUCGACAGCUCGGGAGAGAGCAUCCUAGACUACAUCCAGGGAACAGGCAGCAACCGAAGACUGAAGACGACGCACAGAUAUUUCACUCAAGUACAGAUAUUACUGUACUUGUUGAAUGUACAAAAGUGUUAUUUUUUUGUAUAUUCUAG